rnacentral:rRNA from 1 species
UGGUCAAGUUAUUAAGGGUGCAGGGCGGAUGCCUUGGCACUAGGAGCCGAUGAAGGACGUGAUAAGCUGCGAUAAGCUUCGGGGAGUUGCACGUAAACUUUGAUCCGAAGAUUUCCGAAUGAGGAAACUCACUUAGAGUAAUGUCUAAGUAUCAUUAAGUGAAUACAUAGCUUAAUGAGGGGAACUCAGGGAACUGAAACAUCUAAGUACCUGAAGGAAGAGAAAGAAAUUCGAUUCCGUAAGUAGCGGCGAGCGAACGCGGAUUAGCCCAAACCAAUAAAGUUUUCUUUAUUGGGGUUGCGGACAUAUCAUAACGAAGAGGUAUCGUAAUUGAAGAGGUUUGGAAAGACCCACCACAGAAGGUAAUAGUCCUGUAUGUUAAACGAGAAGACUUUAGAUAUGAUCCAGAGUACCACGGGACACGUGAAACCCUGUGGGAAGCAGGAGGGACCACCCUCCAAGGC